rnacentral:lncRNA from 1 species
AGCAUUCAAAUCAUAUAAAUCAAACAUUUGUCCAAUCGAAACUAUUGUUGAAUUAAUGAAAUAAUGGAAAUUUAAAUCAUCAAAAGGUUCAUCAAAUUCCUAAUGAACAAAAACCCUAGCCUAUAAUCAUCAUUACAAAAUCAAGAAAUUGAAAAACGAAAUUAAAAGAUAAUAAGAAUACACCCGUAUGGAAUUUCUUCAAUCCGUGUGUAUAAUUUUCAAUCCCGUCUCGAACCCGUGCGAAAUUGAAUCCAAAAUUAAGUUUCUUGCCUCCAAUUUUGGUCUCUCCCUUCUCCCUGGUCGUUCUUCCUCUUAAUAUGAUGAAUUUGGGUAUUUAUAUCGCGUCCAAAUUAAGUAGGAAAGGAGUUUCAACCGAAACGAAAAACUACGCCCGAAG